rnacentral:lncRNA from 1 species
GACAGGAAAAGCAGAUAUGUUGACCAGGAAGAAAAAUAAGAGAAAUUAGAGAGAUCAGGCAUUUUUUCCAUCUGCCUCAGAAAGCAAGAUGGUGCUAACAAUGGGAUGUGCUAGAGGGCUGGAAUAUUUGAGGAUGGGGUGGCAAAAACUGGAAAAAGAGAUUUUUAACAGAAAGUCAGAGAUGUCAAAGAUUAUCUUCCUUUUUAUUCAACAAACUAUCCUGUAAGGUCGUGUAAGGAUGUGGCCUCCACUCACCCACUCCCAGCCCAUUUUUGUGCCAGUCUUGCCAUGGGCUUCUGGGUAAUCCUGAAACUAGGACUCUCUUUCUCAAUCAGCCAACAAGAAGCCUAGUGAGAGCCACAGGAGGA